rnacentral:rRNA from 1 species
CCUACGGGCGGCAGCAGUGGGGAAUAUUGGACAAUGGGCGAAAGCCUGAUCCAGCCAUGCCGCGUGUGUGAAGAAGGCCUUCGGGUUGUAAAGCACUUUCAGUGGGGAAGAAAGCCUUGGGGCUAAUACCCUCGAGGAAGGACAUCACCCACAGAAGAAGCACCGGCUAACUCCGUGCCAGCAGCCGCGGUAAUACGGAGGGUGCGAGCGUUAAUCGGAAUUACUGGGCGUAAAGCGCGCGUAGGCGGUCUGAUAAGCCGGUUGUGAAAGCCCCGGGCUCAACCUGGGAACGGCAUCCGGAACUGUCAGGCUAGAGUGCAGGAGAGGAAGGUAGAAUUCCCGGUGUAGCGGUGAAAUGCGUAGAGAUCGGGAGGAAUACCAGUGGCGAAGGCGGCCUUCUGGACUGACACUGACGCUGAGGUGCGAAAGCGUGGGUAGCAAACAGGAUUAGAUACCUCGGUAGUC